UAGCAACAACCUAGCAACGGUUCGUUAAUGAGCUAAUCACGUAUUUACGUUUCAAAGUUUUAACUGCGGCGAGAUGUCGUCAAACGACUUGUUAUUGUUUUUCAGAGAUCUCCAGAGACUCGCCAUGCAGCCAGGUUCUACACCUAGUCUCAGACUGUGACUCAGGCACAGGGCAGUGCAAUUACAGAAGUGCUUUGCUCUACUUCCAUGCUGGGAUUUCUGUUUGCUUCUCCAAACCAGGAACUUCUUGACCACUGUCUACUGAAGAUCCACAACACAAUGGAGACGAUAUGGAUAACUGGAUUUUGCCUCACUAAACACUCCCUCAAACAAUCAGGAGGAUUUCCCCCUGAUACACUAUAUGAAAGUGACUUUGAGUGAUAUCAUUCACCGGCACAAACAAAGCCAAUGCUGGCGCUGCAGUACGUGAACCACAAGAAAGGCUGAGCUGGUCAUCAGGUGCCUCCCUUGGAGUGCUAUAAAUUGACAGAAAUGGUAGACAGUGCAGAAUAAAUGAGAUCGCUCAAAUAAGUAACACUCCCUAUUAAUAAGAUUCUUAAUGUGACACUCUGAGACUCCUAAUUGGGACAUAAAUAGUUAGUGCAGCAAAAACAUACGAGGCUUUGCCAAAACUCCAUACAGUGAAGGAAAUCUAAUUCAGUUUUUCUUGUGAAAAAUGCAAACUGGAUGCUCUCAGUGAUUGAUGUUACUACAUUUCGACCAGCGCACUGUGCUUUAGGACAAAAAAAGUGUUUUUGUUUAAUGUCAGACUAUAAUAAAACAAAACUGUUUUAUAACUAUCAUCUGCACAUAUUUUAAAUAUUUACAAAUGUUGUAUGAUCACUACAGUGCCAAAUUCAGCGUGACUUUUAAAAGAUUAGGGUGUUAGUGCCAUUUACUCGUGUAGUUGUGGAUUGCAAACCUCUCCACUAUUUCAGGUGUGAAGGAGAAAAUAUGGUGGCCAUAAAUUUCAUGAAAAAAGCAAAACUAUCCAGAGCCAGUGUUUGAUUUGUUCUGCUGUGGGCUACUUUAAAAACAUUGUGGUACAACAUGGAGUCUGUAGAUGUAAAAUGCCAUUUCUAAGGUAAUAAAAGCAUAAUGAUUCUUAUUUUCAGGUGAUUAUACAUUUAAAAAAAACAUAGUUAUGCAUAUUAUAGUCCAUCUUUGCCCUAUUCUGUAAAUAUAGCCACCUGCAUCACACACUGGACAUUUUAAACUAACUUUGUAAAA